UAGGGAAUAUUGGACAAUGGGGGCAACCCUGAUCCAGCCAUGCCGCGUGAGUGAAGAAGGCCCUCGGGUUGUAAAGCUCUUUUGUCCGGAAAGAAAAGCUUCGGGUUAAUACCCCGGGGUUCUGACGGUACCGGAAGAAUAAGCACCGGCUAACUUCGUGCCAGCAGCCGCGGUAAUACGAAGGGUGCAAGCGUUACUCGGAAUUACUGGGCGUAAAGCGUGCGUAGGUGGUUGUUUAAGUCUGAUGUGAAAGCCCUGGGCUCAACCUGGGAAUGGCAUUGGAAACUGGGCAGCUAGAGUGCGGUAGAGGGUAGUGGAAUUCCCGGUGUAGCAGUUAAAUGCGUAGAGAUCGGGAGGAACAUCUGUGGCGAAGGCGACUGCCUGGACCAGCACUGACACUGAGGCACGAAAGCGUGGGGAGCAAACA
rnacentral:rRNA from 1 species